GUCGGCAAAAAAAAUAAAAAUAGGUAGACCAGGUCCAUUAUUCUAUAGUUUAUUCACAGUACACUCAAUAGUUUGGUUUCUAACUGAAUGUGGGGCAUCACUGUGAUAAGAUUGUCAGAGAAUCCAAGCUUCUGACUUUGGCUGCUUAUGGUGAAAAUUUCUCUACAUGGUUCACCUUCUGCUACUUGACAGAUCAUGUAUGGGCCUUUGACAUUAAUAGGCUAAAAUACUAAUAUGAUUUGAUCUUUCCAAAUCACACGGUGCAGGUGAAAAAUACCUUUCAAUAGACAGCCAUUAGGGACUGAUCAUGAAACAAUAGACACAUAUAUUAUGCUGAGCGCUAUUAAUAGGCAUUAGCCUACUAGUUUGCAGAAGGUUACGCCUAGGCUAUUACUGGUAUGACACCCUAGCUUGCAGCAGCAAUGCAGUCAGCUAUUUACUGAGUCAGCAGGCAUGUGUGUUUCAUAUAUCUACUACUGUGGUCUUAGCUAUUAGGCAAACUGAACUGGGGUGACCUUAAUUACUCUCAUGUUACUGCGAGUGCACAGUUCUACAACAUAAUCUACAACCGUCUGGCCUCCAGGGAGCCCCAAACCAAUCCAUAGGGAUGAUAAUUCUUAUAUUAAGCCUCCUUUCACUUAUUUAGACUAAAACAAAGUUAGUCGACUUAAAAGUUGCAUCUCGUGAAAUGAUGUUAGCGCAGUAAAAGUGCUGUAUGUGAACUUUCCCCGGUUUGUCGCCCUCUGCCAGAUAUUUUCCCCACAGCGUUGUUUUCGUUGGUCAUGAUGACGACAAGGUAACACCUGAUGCCUCAGAGAAUAAAUCAUUGUGUGUUGACCCUCGGUCCGCCUUAGCUCCGGGUACGAGGAAAACACUCCUCCGAAGCUUGUGCAAACACACACUGGGGAGGGAGUCAGACACGGGACAGACAGACCGGGUAAGUGCUGAAACGCCACAGGAAGUUGCAGAACAGGCAUAAAGGGAGUACCUUGUUCUUUCCUGGCAGGAUGAGUGAGGUAAACUCUCCACACUGGCCACAUUAGCACAUUAGACAAGAACCAGCCAACCAGUGGAAAGCAAAUAAGAGUUAGCGGUAACUGUACACGUAGAGUUAUCAUAGGGGAGUGGGCUAGAUUUUAUCAACACACAAGUCAAGUCUCCCAUCUCUCCCUCUCAGUCUCACCGCAUGGUAUGCAGCAUAAUGCAGCAAAUUCCUUCAGGGAGCAAGUCAGGAAACACAGCAAGGAAACAAGCCUUACCUCGCGCAGUUAUGAAUCACUUUUGGCUAACCUCGUCCACAGAGUCUAGAGUGCCAGAUAUGGGAUUACGGAGGUAUUUAUGGAGACAAACACAUUCUUUCCAUGAAAUUGAAAGCGGGUAACCUCCCAUGCGCACCAUGCAGCGGUAGUAGGACAGAGGAGCCAAAGGCCUCAGUGACAGAUGACAGCAGUACUGAAGGGAACAUGGCCUGAUGGAAAUGAAUAAGGAAGGCCUCUAUUUCGCAGAUACUGUUGCCAUGUGCUCUUUAUAUAAAUAUAGAAU